ACUCCUACGGGAGGCAGCAGUGGGGAAUAUUGGACAAUGGGCGAAAGCCUGAUCCAGCAACGCCGCGUGAGGGAUGACGGCCUUCGGGUUGUAAACCUCUUUCAGCGGGGACGAAGCGAAAGUGACGGUACCCGCAGAAGAAGCACCGGCCAACUACGUGCCAGCAGCCGCGGUAAUACGUAGGGUGCGAGCGUUGUCCGGAAUUAUUGGGCGUAAAGGGCUCGUAGGCGGUUUGUCGCGUCGGGAGUGAAAACACUGGGCUUAACCGAGUGCUUGCUUUCGAUACGGGCAGACUAGAGGUAUGCAGGGGAGAACGGAAUUCCUGGUGUAGCGGUGAAAUGCGCAGAUAUCAGGAGGAACACCGGUGGCGAAGGCGGUUCUCUGGGCAUUACCUGACGCUGAGGAGCGAAAGUGUGGGGAGCGAACAGGAUUAGAUACCCUGGUAGUCCACACCGUAAACGUUGGGCGCUAGGUGUGGGGUCUAUUCCAUGGACUCCGUGCCGCAGCUAACGCAUUAAGCGCCCCGCCUGGGGAGUACGGCCGCAAGGCUAAAACUCAAAGGAAUUGACGGGGGCCCGCACAAGCGGCGGAGCAUGCGGAUUAAUUCGAUGCAACGCGAAGAACCUUACCUGGGUUUGACAUAUACCGGAAGGCCUUAGAGAUAAGGCCCCUUUUGUCGGUAUACAGGUGGCGCAUGGCUGUCGUCAGCUCGUGUCGUGAGAUGUUGGGUUAAGUCCCGCAACGAGCGCAACCCUCGUUCUAUGUUGCCAGCAUGCCCUUCGGGGUGAUGGGGACUCAUAGGAGACUGCCGGGGUCAACUCGGAGGAAGGUGGGGAUGACGUCAAGUCAUCAUGCCCCUUAUGUCCAGGGCUUCACGCAUGCUACAAUGGCCGGUACAAAGGGCUGCGAUCCCGUGAGGGGGAGCGAAUCCCAAAAAGCCGGUCUCAGUUCGGAUUGGGGUCUGCAACUCGACCCCAUGAAGUCGGAGUCGCUAGU
rnacentral:rRNA from 1 species